AUUGAACGCUGGCGGCAGGCCUAACACAUGCAAGUCGAGCGGUUGAAGGGAGCUUGCUCCUGGAUUCAGCGGCGGACGGGUGAGUAAUGCCUAUGAAUCUGCCUGGUAGUGGGGGAUAACGUCCGGAAACGGGCGCUAAUACCGCAUACGUCCUGAGGGAGAAAGUGGGGGUUCUUCGGACCUCACGCUAUCAGAUGAGCCUAGGUCGGAUUAGUUAGUUGGUGGGGUAACGGCCUACCAAGGCGACGAUCCGUAACUGGUCUGAGAGGAUGAUCAGUCACACUGGAACUGAGACACGGUCCAGACUCCUACGGGAGGCAGCAGUGGGGAAUAUUGGACAAUGGGCGAAAGCCUGAUCCAGCCAUGCCGCGUGUGUGAAGAAGGUCUUCGGAUUGUAAAGCACUUUAAGUUGGGAGGAAGGGCAGUAAGUUAAUACCUUGCUGUUUUGACGUUACCAACAGAAUAAGCACCGGCUAACUUCGUG
rnacentral:rRNA from 1 species